CAGAAAUUAGAAUUUCGAAAUUUGGCAUAAAGAUCAUUCAAUUACAAAACGAGUCUUGACAAUUGAAUAAAUAUAGUACCUACAAACCGCAGAAAAUCUACCAACAACGAGAAAUUUCUACAAACACAAGGCAUCUAACAAGAACAAGCUACAGCACAGUUCUGCAGUUAUAUACUUCUUCAUAUGAUGAGUAGAAAAGCAACUACUUUUGCUCACUACUCAACUUACUACAAGAUGCGAUCGAUCAUUCAAUUCCAGUCGACUUGAUCAAACUAAACAUUAUAAUCUCCAUAAGACUCAAAAUUCUUGAGACAAACCAUAAAAAUCAAACCUUUUUUAGUUAUACUUCCUAGGCCUACCUCUUUUCUUAGGUCCUGUCGACAUUGGUCUGGGAGCAGCAGCAGCAGCAGCAGGAGGAG
rnacentral:misc_RNA from 1 species